CCCUUAGAUGUUCUGGGCUGCACGCGCGCUACACUGUCGGAUUCAGCGAGUCAUAUCCUUAACCGAAAGGUUUGGGUAAUCUUUUGAAAGUCCGACGUGACGGGGAUUGAUCAUUGCAAUUAUUGAUCAUGAACGAGGAAUUCCUAGUAAGCGCGAGUCAUCAGCUCGCGUUGAUUACGUCCCUGCCCUUUGUACACACCGCCCGUCGCUACUACCGAUUGAAUGGUUUAGUGAGAUCUUCGGAUUGGCGCCUACGCGGCUUCUCUGAGGCCACGCUGGAUGCCGAAAAGUUGCUCAAACUGUAUCAUUUAGAGGAAGUAAAAGUCGUAACA
rnacentral:rRNA from 1 species